CUACAAAGCAUUUUCAUCAUUCCUUUUUUUAUAGAUGAGGAAACUGGCUCAGACAGAUGUUCAUUGGUUUGAGAACGCUCCCAGAAAUUCUGCUUCAGUCUUUCUGGGUCAGCCUUUGGAGAGUCUUAAUUUUUAUUAAGCACAGCAGCUAAUUCUAUUCUAUUUGGCUCUUGACCUACAGAUUGAGACACACAGGACUCCUGACUUUUGGUUGGCCAUUAAGAAAGGUGUCUGCUUCAAACUCUAAUGACAGAUCACCGAAUAACCAGUAGUGGUAACUGACACUGGCUGAUUGUUUGUUCUGUCAGUUCACCCAUGUGCAAUCAUUACAGCCUCUCUUACCACAUUUUACAUGGUGUCAUCCUCUGGGCUUGAUCUGCUUCUCCUGAUCAAACUGUGAGUGAAAGCUCUUACAGAAGGAAAUCAGUAUCACACUG
rnacentral:lncRNA from 1 species